rnacentral:rRNA from 1 species
GGUUAAGCGACUAAGCGUACACGGUGGAUGCCCUGGCAGUCAGAGGCGAUGAAGGACGUGCUAAUCUGCGAUAAGCGUCGGUAAGGUGAUAUGAACCGUUAUAACCGGCGAUUUCCGAAUGGGGAAACCCAGUGUGUUUCGACACACUAUCAUUAACUGAAUCCAUAGGUUAAUGAGGCGAACCGGGGGAACUGAAACAUCUAAGUACCCCGAGGAAAAGAAAUCAACCGAGAUUCCCCCAGUAGCGGCGAGCGAACGGGGAGCAGCCCAGAGCCUGAAUCAGUGUGUGUGUUAGUGGAAGCGUCUGGAAAGGCGUGCGAUACAGGGUGACAGCCCCGUACACAAAAAUGCACAUGCUGUGAGCUCGAUGAGUAGGGCGGGACACGUGGUAUCCUGUCUGAAUAUGGGGGGACCAUCCUCCAAGGCUAAAUACUCCUGACUGACCGAUAGUGAACCAGUACCGUGAGGGAAAGGCGAAAAGAACCCCGGCGAGGGGGAGUGAAAAAGAACCUGAAACCGUGUACGUACAAGCAGUGGGAGCACGCUUAGGCGUGUGACUGCGUACCUUUUGUAUAAUGGGUCAGCGACUUAUAUUCUGUAGCAAGGUUAACCGAAUAGGGGAGCCGAAGGGAAACCGAGUCUUAACUGGGCGUUAAGUUGCAGGGUAUAGACCCGAAACCCGGUGAUCUAGCCAUGGGCAGGUUGAAGGUUGGGUAACACUAACUGGAGGACCGAACCGACUAAUGUUGAAAAAUUAGCGGAUGACUUGUGGCUGGGGGUGAAAGGCCAAUCAAACCGGGAGAUAGCUGGUUCUCCCCGAAAGCUAUUUAGGUAGCGCCUCGUGAAUUCAUCUCCGGGGGUAGAGCACUGUUUCGGCAAGGGGGUCAUCCCGACUUACCAACCCGAUGCAAACUGCGAAUACCGGAGAAUGUUAUCACGGGAGACACACGGCGGGUGCUAACGUCCGUCGUGAAGAGGGAAACAACCCAGACCGCCAGCUAAGGUCCCAAAGUCAUGGUUAAGUGGGAAACGAUGUGGGAAGGCCCAGACAGCCAGGAUGUUGGCUUAGAAGCAGCCAUCAUUUAAAGAAAGCGUAAUAGCUCACUGGUCGAGUCGGCCUGCGCGGAAGAUGUAACGGGGCUAAACCAUGCACCGAAGCUGCGGCAGCGACACUAUGUGUUGUUGGGUAGGGGAGCGUUCUGUAAGCCUGUGAAGGUGUACUGUGAGGUAUGCUGGAGGUAUCAGAAGUGCGAAUGCUGACAUAAGUAACGAUAAAGCGGGUGAAAAGCCCGCUCGCCGGAAGACCAAGGGUUCCUGUCCAACGUUAAUCGGGGCAGGGUGAGUCGACCCCUAAGGCGAGGCCGAAAGGCGUAGUCGAUGGGAAACAGGUUAAUAUUCCUGUACUUGGUGUUACUGCGAAGGGGGGACGGAGAAGGCUAUGUUGGCCGGGCGACGGUUGUCCCGGUUUAAGCGUGUAGGCUGGUUUUCCAGGCAAAUCCGGAAAAUCAAGGCUGAGGCGUGAUGACGAGGCACUACGGUGCUGAAGCAACAAAUGCCCUGCUUCCAGGAAAAGCCUCUAAGCAUCAGGUAACAUCAAAUCGUACCCCAAACCGACACAGGUGGUCAGGUAGAGAAUACCAAGGCGCUUGAGAGAACUCGGGUGAAGGAACUAGGCAAAAUGGUGCCGUAACUUCGGGAGAAGGCACGCUGAUAUGUAGGUGAAGUCCCUCGCGGAUGGAGCUGAAAUCAGUCGAAGAUACCAGCUGGCUGCAACUGUUUAUUAAAAACACAGCACUGUGCAAACACGAAAGUGGACGUAUACGGUGUGACGCCUGCCCGGUGCCGGAAGGUUAAUUGAUGGGGUCAGCGCAAGCGAAGCUCUUGAUCGAAGCCCCGGUAAACGGCGGCCGUAACUAUAACGGUCCUAAGGUAGCGAAAUUCCUUGUCGGGUAAGUUCCGACCUGCACGAAUGGCGUAAUGAUGGCCAGGCUGUCUCCACCCGAGACUCAGUGAAAUUGAACUCGCUGUGAAGAUGCAGUGUACCCGCGGCAAGACGGAAAGACCCCGUGAACCUUUACUAUAGCUUGACACUGAACAUUGAGCCUUGAUGUGUAGGAUAGGUGGGAGGCUUUGAAGUGUGGACGCCAGUCUGCAUGGAGCCGACCUUGAAAUACCACCCUUUAAUGUUUGAUGUUCUAACGUUGACCCGUGAUCCGGGUUGCGGACAGUGUCUGGUGGGUAGUUUGACUGGGGCGGUCUCCUCCUAAAGAGUAACGGAGGAGCACGAAGGUUGGCUAAUCCUGGUCGGACAUCAGGAGGUUAGUGCAAUGGCAUAAGCCAGCUUGACUGCGAGCGUGACGGCGCGAGCAGGUGCGAAAGCAGGUCAUAGUGAUCCGGUGGUUCUGAAUGGAAGGGCCAUCGCUCAACGGAUAAAAGGUACUCCGGGGAUAACAGGCUGAUACCGCCCAAGAGUUCAUAUCGACGGCGGUGUUUGGCACCUCGAUGUCGGCUCAUCACAUCCUGGGGCUGAAGUAGGUCCCAAGGGUAUGGCUGUUCGCCAUUUAAAGUGGUACGCGAGCUGGGUUUAGAACGUCGUGAGACAGUUCGGUCCCUAUCUGCCGUGGGCGCUGGAGAAUUGAGGGGGGCUGCUCCUAGUACGAGAGGACCGGAGUGGACGCAUCACUGGUGUUCGGGUUGUCAUGCCAAUGGCACUGCCCGGUAGCUAAAUGCGGAAGAGAUAAGUGCUGAAAGCAUCUAAGCACGAAACUUGCCCCGAGAUGAGUUCUCCCUGACUCCUUGAGAGUCCUGAAGGAACGUUGAAGACGACGACGUUGAUAGGCCGGGUGUGUAAGCGCAGCGAUGCGUUGAGCUAACCGGUACUAAUGAACCGUGAGGCUUAACCUU